UGUCAUCGUCAGCUGACUCGAGUUUGUUGUGAGAUGCUAAAUACUCAUAUGCAACUCCUCGUGACUUCAAUUGCAAGAAAAGGUUGCGACCGCGCGUACUUCACUGAUUGCAUGUGACACCUUCUACUUCGUGGUACGAAGAAAAUUUCGCAAACAAAGCAUCCCACUUUCAGCCCUUUGAAACCUUUCGGUGGAAAAAUAAUGCCUCGCCUGCUGUGUGGUGGAACCGCGCCUGCCAGGGAGGCGACGGACGACGUGCAGAAUGUGUGCGAUCAGGUGAAAGCGCGCGUCGAGCAAAUUGCAAACAAGCACUUCGACGAAUUCAAAGCGAUCACGUACCGACCGCAGACUGUGGCUGGGACCAACUACUUUGUUAAGGUUUCCACGGGCGAUGGGAGCUUUUUACAUCUGCGGAUUUACAAGAAUCUCCAGGGACAAGUUGAGCUGAGCGGAAUACAGCCCGACAAAGGUGAAGUGGAUGAGAUUGAAUACUUUGAGAAACAUCUUGAUUAAUAUAUCAGAUGUAGAGAAGGACUUUCCUGUUUGGUUCUUUUUCCAGUUUUUUUUUUUUUUACAGAGGUCUAACAUAAUAAUAUCUACAACUUUUCUUGCUAUGAAAAAUCAAGUUCUUUUUGUGCUUCGAAGUUUUAUUAAGGUGUAAAAUGGAAAAAAAUAGAACUGAAUAUUUCAUA